GAUGAACGCUGGCGGCGUGCCUAAUACAUGCAAGUCGAGCGAACAGACGAGGAGCUUGCUCCUCUGACGUUAGCGGCGGACGGGUGAGUAACACGUGGAUAACCUACCUAUAAUACUGGGAUAACUUCGGGAAACCGGAGCUAAUACCGGAUAAUAUAUUGAACCGCAUGGUUCAAUAGUGAAAGACGGUUUUGCUGUCACUUAUAGAUGGAUCCGCGCCGCAUUAGCUAGUUGGUAAGGUAACGGCUUACCAAGGGAACGAUGCGUAACCGACCUGAGAGGGUGGUCGGCGACACUGGAGGUGAGACACGGUCCAGAGUCCUGCGGGAGGCAGCAGUAGGGAAUGGUCCGCAAUAGGCGAAAGCCUGACGGAGCGACGCCGCGUGAGUGAUGAAGGUCUUCGGAUCGUAAAACUCUGUUAUUAGGGAAGAACAAAUGUGGAAGUAACUAUGCACGUCUUGACGGUACCUAAUCAGAAAGCAACGGCUAACUACGUG
rnacentral:rRNA from 1 species